rnacentral:rRNA from 1 species
AUUGAACGCUAGCGGCAUGCCUUACACAUGCAAGUCGAACGGCAGCACGGGGGCAACCCUGGUGGCGAGUGGCGAACGGGUGAGUAAUGCAUCGGAACGUGCCCAUCGAUGGGGGAUAACUGCGCGAAAGCGUUGCUAAUACCGCAUACGACCUACGGGUGAAAGCAGGGGACCGCAAGGCCUUGCGUCGAUGGAGCGGCCGAUGCCGGAUUAGCUAGUUGGUGAGGUAAAGGCUCACCAAGGCGACGAUCCCGUAGCUGGUCUGAGAGGACGACCAGCCACACUGGGACUGAGACACGGCCCAGACUCCUACGGGAGGCAGCAGUGGGGAACCUUGGACAAUGGGCGAAAGCCUGAUCCAGCAAUGCCGCGUGUGGGAAGAAGGCCUUCGGGUUGUAAACCACUUUUGGCGGGAAAGAAAUGGUCUGUGCUAAUACCACGGAUUGAUGACGGUACCCGCAGAAUAAGCACCGGCUAACUUCGUG